GAAAUUUGGAAGGAGGGGCCUAGUUGAAGACAGUAUAUCAUGAGGGCCUCAGAAUGUAAAGUGAGGUCAUCAUGGUGAUUCUGAAUCCAGUGUGAUUGGUGUUCCUACAAGAAAAGGCCAGGACACAGAUACACGCAGAGGGCAGAUCACAUGAAGACAGGAGAAAGGCCGCCAUCUUCAUACCCAGGCACCUCGUUCUCGGGACCUGUCACCCUGGAUAGAACGACAGGGAGGGGAAAGUUUAAGGCUGAUUUCCCUUAGUCCGUGCAAUUCACUUAUUGCCUACUCGAUGUGAUUCAGUAUUUCCAAAAGUAGAGUACAACAAUCUGUAUUUUUAACAAGCCUCUAAGCCUGUUUUGAAGAACAAGAUCCCAAGGCCAUAUUCCUUUCAAAGAAGAGACAAACUCCCAUUUUGGAUACGUAUUCUAAAAGCUGGUACUGAAAGUGGUGAACUGAGAGGAAAGAGGAGAUCAGUUGAAAGCUGCGUUCGACAUGAUAGAUGGAAAGCUUGGUGUAGCACUAGUGGAUUUCAAUGAUGUCUUCAGUGAACCCUUGAAAAGUAUCAGCUUGGAAAGUGGACAUUUUACAACUAUGACUCCAUAAGUUGGAGAGAGAGCCCUGGAGAGAGAGGCCUUAAAUGAAGAAUUUCAUCUGUGUACUUUUCUUGACCUGUAUGGACUGUCUUUCAGUACAGCACCUACUCACUCCUUCUAGAUUCUUAGGUAGAGAGGUAAUUUCAAAGGAAAGAAAACAUUAACCCACCUGAGUCUGACUGCU